CAGGACACCAUUGGUCACACAGGUCACAGCAGAAAGAAGCCAUCGGUUUAAAUCGUCCCAGUUCAAAUGUUGAAUUCUGCUGUCCAGAGAUUACUGAAGUACCUUCUCAUGAAGAAAACUGCUCUUGUUUGCUCUCACAAAUUGUUGCAUUUUAAAAUUUACUGACUAUUAAGUCUACAAUUUCUCAACAGAUGACUCCAAGCACAAUUUGAUCAUUAAGUCCACUGAUAUUAGAAUAGUGCUGGAGAAACAGAAGGAGUGGCCUUGAUUAUAACUUAGUCAUUCAAUAAAAGAGAUAAUUACCUGUAGUUAGUGAUACGGACACAGAAUGACGACUCUCUAUGACCAGCCUCCAAAUCAAUGGCCAGACUCAUUUAAUCAAAAUGAAUAGAAAUCCUGAGGCUAAUAAGAGCCAGCUGAGAAGCCAUGCAGAGGCCCUACCAAGCUGAGACCCCUGAGAGAUUCAGGCCUCCCUUGAGGGAAGGAAUCCAACAGUUUUAAACAACUCUUUCCUUUAGUAGCCACUGUUUAUGUCCUCUGAGUGUACUUUUUAUAUAAACGUUAUGCAUUAGUUUUCUUCCCACUGUAACAUGUAUUAACUACCACUUUAAUGGUAGUCAUUAAGCAAAUGGAAGUCAUUAGAGUAUGGCAAAGACAUUACCAGUAGUUCAUGUAGCCACAAGGAAACUGCAGAUAUCUCUUCCAAAUGUGUCUGCCUUUAUUUACUCAGGGGACUCUCUGGAAAUGCUGGUGACUCAUUGCUCAGGCAUACUUUGUGAACAAUUUUCCUGCAGUGGAAGUCAUCCAAUUAAAAAGGACGGUACACAAUAUAUGUCUGAGUUUUGUUGAAGUCAUCAGUGGUACUAUCUGGGACUUGGAAUGCAUUAAAGACAGACUCAGCUCACUAGCCAGGAUUGCCUUAGACUUUGUCCUUGAUGGCCAAGUGUCUAUAUUAUUGAAAAUCUAUCUUACUGAUUUAAUGCUGUAGGCCAAUUUCAGUACACAGUUUUGUGACUCCAUCUACCCUUCUGAGGUAGAUCUUAUUCAUUUGUAGGACUUAUCCUGUAGGUAAUUCGAGGGACAAGAUUGAGUUUAAUAAUGCAGGCUGACCAUGUCUACCUAGCUGUAUUUUUAAUGUUAGUAGUGUUAUGGCCAGAUUUCUUGGAAUAGCUGACAGAGUCUAAUGGUAAUGGUUACCAGAAACAAAAAUGAUGAUUCUAGGAGGGAUGGGUCUUUGGUGGGACAUGAUUAUCUGUGGAACACAUAUCUUUGUAUAUAAGCAAAUACACUGAGCGAUACUUGUUUUGAACCAUCAUUUUGGACACGUGCAGAGAGAUAGUGUCUCCUUCUGAAAUCAAGAAUACAUAUGCUUAUUGCUCAGAUAGUAUCUCCCUCUGAGCAAAAAUUGGGCGUGUGUAUCGCUCAUUCCUAAAGAUUUCAUAAGCUCAGAGUUUGUCUACUGUUGAACACAACACCUUAAAUGAGCAACAAUCAUCUGGCCCUCUCAUCUUGCUAUAUGGGAAUAGAAAUUUAAGUUGUGUUUACAACAUGAUUUGCUGAAUAUCUGAAACCUAUUGCUAAGUCUUAUUGCUUAGAAAAGAAUUGGUUUCACAUUACUACUCAUUCACAAUUCAGCUGGUCAUCCAAGAAUUCUGACGAAGGUGCACAAUGAGAUGAAGCUUGUUGUAUCUGCUAUCACAGCAUUCAUUCCUACAGAUUGAGGACCACCGUUCACCUUCAGGUAUUAAGAUUUGAGAAAUUCAAUUCCAAAUGCUGUAACUACCAUAGAGAAUGAUUACUUUGAUGGGAGCAAAAUAAAUUGCAAAUCUUCUGCCAUUCUAGGUAGUAUUAAAAUCAUUAGUGACUCACAGGAGGUUGUUAAAAUACUAACCCUUAUGAAGACGUUGGAAGAAGUUGGCUCCUGUCCUCAAGGAUGAUAUUGAAAAGUUGAAGAUUUUUAAUCAAGGAGGUAACAGAGACAUGUUGGAAAUAUCAGGGAAACUAAGAUUAGAAUUGGAUAUUUAGAUGUGAUACAAUCUUAUUAAAAAAUAUAAUCGAUGAGGAAUUGUUUUUUAUUCAUGAAUAAAGAAAGUGGUUAUAUUAGAUGGAAUAAAUCUAUUCCUGCUGAGGAUGCUGUGAUCUUUGGUGAAGUGACAAACUUUUUAGACUAUUACACGAACUUAGUAGAUGAAGCUGAAGCAAAUUUUUUUGUUUUGUUGUAUUAAGAAUCAAACUCACAAAUUCACACUGACCAGUCAAGCCCAUGACCCUGAAGCGAGUUUUGAAGACAUUGACUUCCUGUUUGAAUAAAGUUACACUCUGUGUAAAAUCUCUCAAAAAAGUUACAUGUUACAGAGAACUAUCUUAAAGAGCUAAUAGGUACAGAAAACUUCAUUGUUUAGUUUUAAAGAAAUUGCCACAACCACAACAUCUUUUAGCCAGUCAGGUUCAAAUGAGCAAUAGAAUAUUUUAAACAUGAUAUUUCACUUGUAUUUGUGGACAUUUUUUCACACUUUAGAGACUACAGUGUACUAUAAACAUGAUCUGUAUAUUUAUUGGAAAUCAAAAUUUCUGUGACUCACUUUGCUGCAAUGUUUACCUUAUUCAGUGGUCUGGAAUGAACAUCUAAAGAGUAUGUGUCUGCGAUUCCCUGUCCCCAUCCCCAAACCACUUUUUGUCCCCUUGGGGGAACCUAUCACUGUAGUAGAAAAUAUAAAUCCCCUCAUUACACAAAGAUGUGCUAUUUGUCUCCAGCUCAUCUCUGUUACACAAACUUUGCUACUUAUCACUGCUAACUCAUCAUGGUAAGCUUUCUUCUAUUCCUUGACAAUUCCAAACUCUUUAUAACAUUAACAAUUUUUGUUUCCUUUAUUUGCCUGGACAACCCCUAAUUUCAAGGUUUGCUGAUUUACUCUGAAAUCUGUAAUAUUUAUUAACAUGUUUUAAAGUUACUUCUUUUGAGAAAA